GAUGAACGCUGGCGGCGUGCCUAACACAUGCAAGUCGAGCGGAGAAUUGUUGCUUGCAACAAUUCUUAGCGGCGGACGGGUGAGUAACACGUGGGUAACCUGCCCUAAACAAAGGGAUAACAAUGAGAAAUCAUUGCUAAUACCGUAUAAGCUUACACUAUCGCAUGAUAGAGUAAGAAAAGAUUUAUCGGUUUAGGAGGGGCCCGCGUCUGAUUAGCUAGUUGGAGAGGUAACGGCUCACCAAGGCGACGAUCAGUAGCCGACCUGAGAGGGUGAUCGGCCACAUUGGGACUGAGACACGGCCCAAACUCCUACGGGAGGCAGCAGGGGGGAAUAUUGCACAAUGGAGGAAACUCUGAUGCAGCAACGCCGCGUGAAGGAAGAAGGUUUUCGGAGCGUAAACUUCUAUCUACAGGGAAGAAAAAAAUGACGGUACCUGAGUAAGAAGCCCCGGCUAACUACGUG
rnacentral:rRNA from 1 species